rnacentral:rRNA from 1 species
UACGGAGGGAGCGAGCGUUGUUCGGAAUUACUGGGCGUAAAGCGUAUGUAGGCGGCUUCGUAAGACAGAUGUGAAAUCCCAGAGCUUAACUUUGGAACUGCAUUUGUGACUGCAAGGCUUGAGGAUCGGAGAGGUUGGCGGAAUUCCAAGUGUAGAGGUGAAAUUCGCAGAUAUUUGGAGGAACACCGAUGGCGUAAGCAGCCAACUGGACGAUUACUGACGCUGAGAUACGAAAGCGUGGGGAGCAAACAGG